rnacentral:rRNA from 1 species
AGGGUUUGAUUCUGGCUCAGGACGAACGCUGGCGGCGUGCCUAACACAUGCAAGUCGAACGAGAAUCUUAUGACGGAGGCUUCGGCCAACUGAAUAAGAGGACAGUGGCGGACGGGUGAGUAACGCGUGAGCAACCUGCCUUCAGGAGGGGGACAACAGUUGGAAACGACUGCUAAUACCGCAUGACAUUACGGAUCGGCAUCGGUCUGUAAUCAAAGCUUUAUGUGCCUGAAGAUGGGCUCGCGUCUGAUUAGAUAGUUGGCGGGGUAACGGCCCACCAAGUCGACGAUCAGUAGCCGGACUGAGAGGUUGAACGGCCACAUUGGGACUGAGAUACGGCCCAG